AACAGACUCCAAACCCCAGCAGCUAGCAGGUUAGAGCUGCUCCCACAUCUCCCACUCUGAUCACAGCCAGAAGUGGGGUGACUAAGUGCACAGGAGAAGAAAAUCAGUGUGGCUGGGGGACUACGGAGGCAGUGGCUGGAAGAUCAAGCCAAACUGGGGCGGGUUCAAUGGAGGCUACUGAGGUUUAAGAAACUGAAGAUGUUCCACAAACAGGAGAUGAAAACUCAGGAAGAGCCGUAACGGCCACCGUUAAACAUCUCGAGGACUUCACGUGAGGAAAGAAGAACUAAAACAGUUGUGGCGGCUCCAGGGAGUAGCACUGGCCCAGGAGAAACAAGAGGUUCGAGCUCAGCACCAGCAGAGACCACAAGAUGCUCAUGGCUGCAGCCUUUUCUGAAGCAGAGCAAGGGCCAGUAGAGCCCCUGGCCAAUGAAACCUGAGGGGCAGCCUGCUGACGGCGGGGGGGGGGGGUCUUACAGAAAACUUCUUCCUUCCGGUGAAAAGAGUGUCUCUUCCUGCCUAAGACUGGGUCGUGUGAGUACGUGAUGCUGUAGACAGAGCUGCUCCCUUGCAUGUCAAGGCAGACAAGCUGCCCCAGGGCUACUGAAUUAGCCAUUUCAGAACCUUUCUGCCAGACUUCUUGUUAUGCAAAAAAAGUAAGUAGCUUUUAAGCUGUGAAUACUGUUAGCUGCAGCUGAUACAGGUCAAGGCUCAGAGGUGAACAAAGACUGAAUGUGCAGCUUCAGAGAAAGGUCCUGACAAAGGCUUGGCAGAAUACUGUAAAGCAGAGCCAGGUACCAGGAAAUGUUUCUAUCCCAAGGUUUGACAGACUGUUUUACCACUGUACCUUCUCAUGAUUUUAUUCAGCCUCACCAAAAAAAAUUUCAGUACGGAAAAAAGGAACACAUGAUAUAAAAUGCUGUGUAUCUAGGAAGAAGAUGAAGAAUAGAAGAAGGCAAAGGUAAUGGAUGUUAUAAGUAAAGAGCCCUGGUUUAAAAAAAAAA